rnacentral:rRNA from 1 species
CGAAAGCCUGAUGCAGCGACGCCGCGUGAGGGAUGACGGCCUUCGGGUUGUAAACCUCUUUCAGCAGGGACGAAGCGAAAGUGACGGUACCUGCAGAAGAAGCACCGGCCAACUACGUGCCAGCAGCCGCGGUAAUAC